rnacentral:rRNA from 1 species
UACGAAGGGUGCAAGCGUUAAUCGGAAUUACUGGGCGUAAAGGGUGCGUAGGCGGUUCGUUAAGUCUGUCGUGAAAUCCCCGGGCUCAACCUGGGAAUGGCGAUGGAUACUGGCGAGCUAGAGUGUGUCAGAGGAUGGUGGAAUUCCCGGUGUAGCGGUGAAAUGCGUAGAGAUCGGGAAGAACACCGGUGGCGAAGGCGGCCUGCUGGGACAGUGCUGACGCUGAGGCGCGACAGCGUGGGGAGCAAACAGG